rnacentral:rRNA from 1 species
GACGAACGCUGGCGGCGUGCUUAACACAUGCAAGUCGAGCGGUAAGGCCCUUUCGGGGUACGACGAGCGGCGAACGGGUAGGAGUAACAACGUGGGUGGACCUCGCCCUCCAGCUCUGGGAGUAAGACCCGGGAAACCGUAGGUCGUAAUACCGGAGUAUGACUCCAUGACGCAUGUUGUGGGGUGGGAAAGACCUUGUGCGGCUGAGGAUGGGCCCGGCCGGCCUAUCAGCUUGUUGGUGGGGUGAUGGCCACCAAGGCGACGACGGGUAGCCGGCCUGAGAGGGCGACCGG